UUACUCUAGUUUCUCUUCAUAUCGCAUAAAUCUUUCGCCUUUUACUAAAGAUUUCCGUGGAGAGGAAUAAUUCUGAGUUUUAAACCAAUUUUUUAGAGGUCUUGCAUUUUUUAGCAAGGC
ensembl:snRNA RNU5E-4P RNA, U5E small nuclear 4, pseudogene